UGAAAUUGUGAUUGGUUGGGAGGAAAGCAUAUUUGAGGAGCUUACGCCGCUUUAGAGAGGAAAAAAAUUCUCUCAUUGAGUAGCAUCCAAUCUGCUAUCAUGUCAGUUUUGUCAUUAUCUAUGAAAUAUAAUUUUUCUUCUCUAUUGGUUAUUUUCUUGGAUUUUAAUAUUGAAAAGUAUCUAGCAAAUCCUUAGAUGAUGGCCAAAUUAACAUGCACAGCGAAUCGGAGGCUUUAUAAUAAGAUGUUGUUUGGGAGCUCUUCACUAAAGU
rnacentral:lncRNA from 1 species